UGAGUUUGAUUCUGGCUCAGAGUGAACGCCGGCGGCGUGCUUAACACAUGCAAGUCGAACGGUAACAGGAAGAGCUUGCUCUUUGCUGACGAGUGGCGCACGGGUGAGUAAUAUAUAGGUAAUGUGCCCCAAAGACCGGGAUAGCCAUUGGAAACGGUGAUUAAUACUGGAUAUGCCUCUAUCACAUGAGUGAGCGAGGGAAAGUUUUUCGCUUUGGG
rnacentral:rRNA from 1 species